rnacentral:rRNA from 1 species
ACGGGAGGCAGCAGCUAAGAAUAUUCCGCAAUGGACGAAAGUCUGACGGAGCGACGCCGCGUGGAUGAUGAAGGCCGUGAGGUUGUAAAAUCCUUUUGUAAGUGAGGAAUAAGCGCUGUAGGGAAUGACAGCGUGGUGACUGUAGCUUACGAAUAAGCACCGGCUAAUUACGUGCCAGCAGCCGCGGUAACACGUAAGGUGCAAGCGUUGUUCGGAAUUAUUGGGCGUAAAGGGCAUGCAGGCGGUUUGGUAAGUUAGACGUGAAAUCCCGGGGCUUAACCCCGGAACUGCGUUUGAUACUGCUGAACUAGAGUCAGUGAGGGGAGACUAGAAUUCCAGGUGUAGGGGUGAAAUCUGCAGAUAUCUGGAAGAAUACCGGUGGCGAAGGCAGGUCUCUAGCACAUGACUGACGCUCAUAUGCGAAGGUGCGGGGAGCAAACAGGAUUAGAUACCCUGGUA